UUAAGUAAAUAAGGGCAUGCGGUGGAUGCCUUGGCGCUAAGAGCCGAAGAAGGACGCGGUAAGCUGCGAAAAGCCGUGCUGAGUCGCAAGCAGACAAUGACACACGGAUCUCCGAAUAGGAAAACCCCAUUGGAGUAAUGUCCAAUGACCCACUGGUGAACACAUAGCCAGUGAGGAGGCAACCCAGGGAACUGAAACAUCUAAGUACCUGGAGGAAAAGAAAGAAAACUCGAUUCCCCUAGUAGCGGCGAGCGAACAGGGAACAGCCCAAACCGGAUUUAUCCGGGGUUAGGACACUCAUCAGUUGAUGGAAAGGUUAGUUGAAUGGCAUGGGAAGGCCAGUCACAGAAGGUUAGAACCCUGUAAACGAAAACCCGAACAUCACGAGUGAAUCCAGAGUACCACGAAGCACGUGGAAUUUCGUGGGAACAAGCGGGGACCACCCCGUAAGGCUAAAUACUCCUUAGCGACCGAUAGUGAACUAGUACCGUGAGGGAAAGGUGAAAAGCACCCCGGAAGGGGAGUGAAAAAGAACCUGAAACCGCAUGCUUACAAUCAGUCACAGCUCCAUAAGAGAGUAGUGGCGUACUUUUUGUAGAACGGACCGGCGAGUUACGUUAGCAAGCGAGGUUAAGGAAACGGAGCCAUAGCGAGAGCGAGUCUGAAUAGGGCGAAAAAGUUUGCUGGCGUAGACCCGAAACCAGGUGAUCUACCCAUGAGCAGGUUGAAGCGUUGGUAAAACAACGUGGAGGACCGAACCAGGGAUCGUUGAAAAGAUCUUGGAUGACUUGUGGGUAGGGGUGAAAUUCCAAUCGAACCUGGAGAUAGCUGGUUCUCCUCGAAAUAGCUUUAGGGCUAGCCUUGUGGUAAAGCUUGACGGAGGUAGAGCACUGAAUGGAUGCGGGGGCUUCACCGCCUACCAAAUCUUAUCAAACUCCGAAUGCCGUCAAGAGAAUACACAGGAGUCAGACUAUGGGGGAUAAGCUUCAUAGUCGAAAGGGAAAGAGCCCAGACCGCCGUCUAAGGUCCCAAAAUCGUUGUUAAGUGGAAAAGGAUGUGAAAUCGCUCAGACAACCAGGAUGUUGGCUCAGAAGCAGCCACCAUUAAAAGAGUGCGUAAUAGCUCACUGGUCCAGGGGUUUUGCGCCGAAAAUGUAACGGGGCUCAAACAAUGUACCGAAGACGCGGAAUUAACUAAUGUUAAUUGGUAGAGGAGCGUUCUGUAACCGGAGAAGCGUGACGGAAACGACACGUGGAGGGUACAGAAGAGAGAAUGCCGGUAUAAGUACACGAUAAGGCAGGUGAGAAUCCUGCCCGCCGGAAGUCUAAGGAUUCCUGGGGAAGGCUCGUCCGCCCAGGGUAAGUCGGGACCUAAGGCAAGGCCGAAAGGCGUAGUCGAUGGAAAACGGGUAGAUAUUCCCGUACCACCAGUAUAUGAUGACGAUGCAGUGACGCAGAAAGGUAGAGCGAGCGCCCAGUUGGUGAGGCGUUCAAGUGAGUAGGGAGAAGUGCAGGAAAGACCACACUUCAUAAUCCUGAGACACGAUGACGAGUGAAAAAUAGUAACGAAGUCCUUGAUCCUCCGCUGCCAAGAAAAGCUGCUAAGGAAUAUACAGGUGCCCGUACCGCAAACCGACACAGGUAGACAGGUAGAGAAUACUAAGGCGCGCGAGAUAACUCUUGUUAAGGAACUCUGCAAAAUGAACCCGUAACUUCGGGAGAAGGGUUGCUCCCUAGCGUGAGUAUGAACAAUACAGAGCGCAGGGGAGUCGCAGUGAAAAGGUCCAGGCGACUGUUUAGCAAAAACACAGGUCAUUGCAAAAUCGUAAGAUGAAGUAUAAUGGCUGACGCCUGCCCGGUGCUGGAAGGUUAAGGGGAAGAGUGCAAGCUUUGAACUGAAGCCCCAGUAAACGGCGGCCGUAACUAUAACGGUCCUAAGGUAGCGAAAUUCCUUGUCGGGUAAGUUCCGACCCGCACGAAAGGCGAAACGAUCUGGACGCUGUCUCAACAAGGGACUCGGUGAAAUUGAAAUACCGGUAAAGAUGCCGGUUACCUGCGAUAGGACAGAAAGACCCCAUGGAGCUUUACUGUAGCCUGAUAUUGGGUUUCGGAUAUUUAUGUACAGGAUAGGUGGGAGACUGAGAAGCAUGGACGCCAGUUUGUGCGGAGUCAUUGGUGGGAUACCACCCUUAGAUGUUUGGAAUUCUAACAAGCAGUCUUGAAACAGAUUAUUGGACAGUGUCAGGUGGGCAGUUUGACUGGGGCGGUCGCCUCCUAAAAGGUAACGGAGGCGCUCAAAGGUUCCCUCAGAACGGAUGGAAAUCGUUCGAAGAGUGCAAAGGCAGAAGGGAGCUUGACUGCGAGAGCAACAACUCGAGCAGAUAGGAAACUAGGACUUAGUGAUCCGGCGGUCGCGAGUGGAAGUGCCGUCGCUCAACGGAUAAAAGCUACCCUGGGGAUAACAGGCUUAUCUCCCCCAAGAGUUCACAUCGACGGGGAGGUUUGGCACCUCGAUGUCGGCUCAUCGCAUCCUGGGGCUGUAGUAGGUCCCAAGGGUUGGGCUGUUCGCCCAUUAAAGCGGUACGCGAGCUGGGUUCAGAACGUCGUGAGACAGUUCGGUCCCUAUCCAUCGCGGGCGUAGGAAAUUUGAAGGGAGCUGACCCUAGUACGAGAGGACCGGGUUGGACAGACCGCUGGUGAACCAGUUGUACUGCCAAGUGCAUAGCUGGGUAGCUAAGUCUGGAAAAGAUAAACGCUGAAAGCAUCUAAGCGUGAAGCGAACCUUAAGAUGAGAUUUCCCAUUGCUUAGGCAAAUAAGACACCAGAGAGAAUAACUGGUAGAUAGGUCAGAAGUGUAAGUGCUGUGAGGCAUUGAGCGGACUGAUACUAAUAAGUCGAAGACUUAGCCAA
rnacentral:rRNA from 1 species